GUUCUGGUGGCUUUCACUCAAGCGAGACGUAGUGGAUUUUGUUCAGGCUUGUCAUGUCUGCACGCAGUGUAAGUCCCCUAAUGUGAGACCCCAGGGUCUACUGAUGCCUCUAUCUAUACCCAAGAAACCAUGGACCCACUUAUCCAUGGAUUUCAUUGUAGACCUUCCUCUUUCUGAUGGUCAGACGGUAAUACUGACUGUGACGGAUAGGUUCUCUAAAAUGGCGCACUUUAUUCUGCUUAAGAAACUGCCUUCUGCGGUUCAGUUAGCUCAGGUGUUUGCCAAAGAAGUGUUCCGCUUGCAUGGGGUAC